GAAACCUCAACGUAACGUGCAAUUGCGGUGAAGAAUUUGAAAGGUGUCAAGACAUAUUGAUCUAGUUUAUGGAGGAGGCAGCAUUGGUUUGAUGGGCUUGAUUUCUCAGGCUGUCUACGAUGGCAGUUUCCAUGUAAUUGGGUUACUUGGAAGAUAGGCGUCCGGCUUCAAACAUGGAUCCACAUGUGGUGACAUCAUUACUGGUAGAGACUACACUAUUGUGGGAACCAACUCUAGAGGUUGAAGCUGUUCCAACUCAAAAGAUAAAUCUAUUGAUUGAUGGUAUUCUGGAUGCAGUCGGUAGUUUGUGUAGAGCUGGAAAGCUCUUUCAUUUUCCUUUUAUAUUAUUUGUAUUCUAAAUAUCUUGUUUGAAAGAAAGAGGUUGGCAUGCCCGUUUAUUGGUUGUUAGAUGAAAUGCCCAUUCAUUUAGCAAGUAAAUGA